UCUUCUCGACCAACCUAUCGUAGGGCAUGGAAGCUAUUUGAGCAAUUCCACGGGGUGUUGUUUCAGGGUUUUUCAAUAUCAUUUCCAAUGAAACCAGCUGUGUUGGCUUUGUUUGUCGCGCACCUGUACAAUAAACGGUACGCUUCAUCUACAGUUAACACCUACGUGUCCGCAUUAGGUUAUUUGCACAAAUUAUCCGGUUAUGCAGAUCCUACCAAGGUUUUUU